UACGGGGGGAGCAAGCGUUGUUCGGAUUUACUGGGCGUAAAGGGCGCGUAGGCGGUCAGCACAAGUCAGUUGUGAAAUCUCCGGGCUUAACCCGGAAAGGUCAACUGAUACUGUGCGACUAGAGUGCGGAAGGGGCAACUGGAAUUCUCGGUGUAGCGGUGAAAUGCGUAGAUAUCGAGAGGAACACCUGCGGCGAAGGCGGGUUGCUGGGCCGACACUGACGCUGAUGCGCGAAAGCCAGGGGAGCGAACGGG
rnacentral:rRNA from 1 species